rfam:Neotoma lepida isolate 417 scaffold_225, whole genome shotgun sequence.
AUACUUAACAUGAUGGGAGAUACCAUGAACAAGAAGGUGUUUUUCUGAGGCAAUGCUCAUCUGUUGCACUUGGGGUGUACUGACACUUUUUUUUUUUAUUUCCCCAAAUUCAGGAAACACAACUGCAUAAUUUGUGGUAGUGGGGAUUGUAUUUGUGUUCUCCCCUA